rnacentral:rRNA from 1 species
CCUACGGGAGGCAGCAGUAGGGAAUAUUGCUCAAUGGGGGAAACCCUGAAGCAGCAACGCCGCGUGGAGGAUGAAGGUUUUCGGAUUGUAAACUCCUUUUGUUAGAGAAGAUAAUGACGGUAUCUAACGAAUAAGCACCGGCUAACUCCGUGCCAGCAGCCGCGGUAAUACGGAGGGUGCAAGCGUUACUCGGAAUCACUGGGCGGAAAGAGCGCGUAGGCGGGAUAGCAAGUCAGAUGUGAAAUCCUAUGGCUUAACCAUAGAACUGCAUUUGAAACUGUUAUUCUAGAGUAUGGGAGAGGUAGGUGGAAUUCUUGGUGUAGGGGUAAAAUCCGUAGAGAUCAAGAGGAAUACUCAGUGCGAAGGCGACCUGCUAGAACAUAACUGACGCUGAUGCGCGAAAGCGUGGGGAGCAAACAGGAUUAGAUACCCCAGUAGUC